GUGCAUGUGCUCCCCUUUUUUUUCCUUUUUUUGUUUGAUAGUGUGUAAGCACAGUUCUUUGUGUUAGGUUGAAAUCACUAUCAGGUUUUGUGCUGAACUAUGAAUGGACUAUCUGACAUUCUCAUGAUCUUUCCAUUAAUAGACACCGGGUGGUGAUGUACUUUAAAAAUGGAUGCCCUUGUUCUAUUAAUUGAGCUAGUCAUUUACUGCCUUUCUUAGUUCCUCAUAUUGCAGGAGCUAAAUCAACUGUUUUUCUUAGUUCCUCAGAUUCUAUUAAAGUUUUUAUUGGAUUGGAUGUCAUUUACAUUUCCACUGUAUCUUUCUUUCAUGAUAGUCCACAGAUGGUUCAGCAAGCAGAUACUACAGGUAGUGAGCAUGAUAUGCAUGUGCCUAUCACUUAUGUGGUUCUCACGCAUGAUUGUUUAAGCAUGUGGAUGAAAUGGAACAAGGAACAAGCAGUGAGAAGAGAUUGGAAAUUUGAAGGCAAAUGCUGGAAUUUUUUUGUUAUUUUUUUCUGGUGCGUUGCAUUUGAUCCAAGAUGAAAACAUGAAUGUAACUUGCUAAUUUGAUGUACUUCUCAAUGUAAAUCUGAAAUAUUGUAUUUGAUUUGAUGUUGUGGUAAAUUUAUUGUAUUUGA